rnacentral:rRNA from 1 species
GUAGUCCACGCCGUAAACGAUGAACACUUGGUGUUAGAGGUAUUGACCCCUCUAGUGCCGAAGCCAACGCGUUAAGUGUUCCGCCUGGGAAGUACGGUCGCAAGAUUAAAACUCAAAGAAAUUGACGGGGGCCCGCACAAGCGGUGGAGCAUGUGGUUCAAUUCGAUGCAACGCGAAAAACCUUACCUGGGUUUGAAGUGCUAGUGAAUGCGGUAGAGAUAUCGCAGGCCUUCGGGACACUAGUAUCAGGUGCUGCAUGGCUGUCGUCAGCUCGUGUCGUGAGAUGUCGGGUUAAGUCCCAUAACGAGCGCAACCCUUGUCUUUAGUUGCCAGCAUUCAGUUGGGCACUCUAAAGAGACUGCCGACGUUAAGUCGGA